rnacentral:rRNA from 1 species
UGUAGGCUGCAACUCGCCUACAUGAAGUCGGAGUUGCUAGUAAUCGCGGAUCAGAAUGCCGCGGUGAAUGCGUUCCCGGGUCUUGUACACACCGCCCGUCACACCAUGGAAGGUUGGGGGGCGCCCGAAGUUGGUCGAGGAAUAGAUUACCUAAGGCGAAAACCAAUGACUGGGGUGAAGUCGUAACAAGGUAAC